CGAGAGGACCGGAGUGGACGCAUCACUGGUGUUCGGGUUGUCAUGCCAAUGGCACUGACCGGUAGCUAAAUGCGGAAGAGAUAAGUGCUGAAAGCAUCUAAGCACGAAACUUGCCCCGAGAUGAGUUCUCCCUGAGACUUUAAGUCUCCUGAAGGAACGUUGAAGACGACGACGUUGAUAGGCCGGGUGUGUAAGCGCAGCGAUGCGUUGAGCUAACCGGUACUAAUGAACCGUGAGGCUUAACC
rnacentral:rRNA from 1 species